GACGAACGCUGGCGGCGUGCUUAACACAUGCAAGUCGAACGGAAAGGCCCUGCUUUUGUGGGGUGCUCGAGUGGCGAACGGGUGAGUAACACGUGAGUAACCUGCCCUUGACUUUGGGAUAACUUCAGGAAACUGGGGCUAAUACCGGAUAGGAGCUCCUGCUGCAUGGUGGGGGUUGGAAAGUUUCGGCGGUUGGGGAUGGACUCGCGGCUUAUCAGCUUGUUGGUGGGGUAGUGGCUUACCAAGGCUUUGACGGGUAGCCGGCCUGAGAGGGUGACCGGCCACAUUGGGACUGAGAUACGGCCCAGACUCCUACGGGAGGCAGCAGUGGGGAAUAUUGCACAAUGGGCGGAAGCCUGAUGCAGCAACGCCGCGUGCGGGAUGACGGCCUUCGGGUUGUAAACCGCUUUCGCCUGUGACGAAGCGUGAGUGACGGUAAUGGGUAAAGAAGCACCGGCUAACUACGUGCCAGCAGCCGCGGUGAUACGUAGGGUGCGAGCGUUGUCCGGAUUUAUUGGGCGUAAAGGGCUCGUAGGUGGUUGAUCGCGUCGGAAGUGUAAUCUUGGGGCUUAACCCUGAGCGUGCUUUCGAUACGGGUUGACUUGAGGAAGGUAGGGGAGAAUGGAAUUCCUGGUGGAGCGGUGGAAUGCGCAGAUAUCAGGAGGAACACCAGUGGCGAAGGCGGUUCUCUGGGCCUUUCCUGACGCUGAGGAGCGAAAGCGUGGGGAGCGAACAGGCUUAGAUACCCUGGUAGUCCACGCUGUAAACGGUGGGUACUAGGUGUGGGGUCCAUUCCACGGGUUCCGUGCCGUAGCUAACGCUUUAAGUACCCCGCCUGGGGAGUACGGCCGCAAGGCUAAAACUCAAAGGAAUUGACGGGGCCCCGCACAAGCGGCGGAGCAUGCGGAUUAAUUCGAUGCAACGCGUAGAACCUUACCUGGGUUUGACAUGGAUCGGGAGUGCUCAGAGAUGGGUGUGCCUCUUUUGGGGUCGGUUCACAGGUGGUGCAUGGCUGUCGUCAGCUCGUGUCGUGAGAUGUUGGGUUAAGUCCCGCAACGAGCGCAACCCUUGUUCACUGUUGCCAGCACGUUAUGGUGGGGACUCAGUGGAGACCGCCGGGGUCAACUCGGAGGAAGGUGGGGAUGACGUCAAGUCAUCAUGCCCCUUAUGUCCAGGGCUUCACGCAUGCUGCAAUGGCUGGUACAGAGAGUGGCGAGCCUGUGAGGGUGAGCGAAUCUCGGAAAGCCGGUCUCAGUUCGGAUUGGGGUCUGCAACUCGACCUCAUGAAGUCGGAGUCGCUAGUAAUCGCAGAUCAGCAACGCUGCGGGUGAUACGUUCCCGGGGCU
rnacentral:rRNA from 1 species